UGUGUAUAAUUUAUACAUCAUGGCAUCUUCACUGAUAUUUAUAGUCAGUAGCACGUGCAACAUUUAUAACAAGAAAGACGGUGAAUGCUGUAAAAAAACACAAUCAGAGACAAACAACUCAAGUGAUAAAAACUACUAAAAAGUUAAGAAAAAAAGUGAAGAUAUGAUUUUGCAUCUGUCACUAAUUACCAUUUAGUUUGCUUGUAGAAACAACAACAAAGGCCAAACAAUGUCACAACAAACACUAACACUAACGAUUCUUCUAUUUACACUCCUUAGUCUUACUUCUUCACCAGCCACUUGUUUAUACUCUUCUCCUUCACCCCCCGCCGCGUCAUUUUCCGAAACUACCCCCGAUCCCGAACCUCGCGCCGAAGAAUGGUUACCCGCCCACGCAACUCACUACGCCGCCACCGACGCGGUCGGCGGCGCGUGCGGAUACGGCGACCUCCUUAACGGCGGUUAUGGCAUGGCCACCGCCGCUCUCAGCGAGGCUCUCUUCGGGCGCGGCCAGAUCUGCGGCGCCUGCUUCGAGCUCCGGUGCCGCGAGGAGGACUCCGACUUUGACCGGCGGUGGUGCAUCUCCGGCACGACGGUGGCCGUCACCGCCACAAAUUUCUGCGCCCCGAACUACGGCUCCGACGCGGAGAGCGUGGGAGGACAUUGCAACACUCCGAAGCAGCAUUUCGUGGUUCCAAUUGAAGCAUUCGAGAAAAUGGCAAUCUGGAAAACUGGCACUGGCAACAUGCCCGUGGAGUAUCGCAGGAUAAAGUGUAGAAGAGAAGAGGGGAUCCGGUUUACAAUUACUGGUUUUGGAAUCUUCAUUUCAGUACUGAUUAGCAAUGUGGCUGGCAAGGGAGACAUUGUUACUGUGAAGAUUAAGGGUUCAAGAACUGGUUGGCUCCCAUGGGUAGGAAUUGGGGUCAGAACUGGCAUGUUAAUGCAUUGCUACAGAACCAACCUCUUUCAUUUGAGGUUACAAGUAGUGAUGGGAUAACUGUUGCAUCUUACAAUGUUGCCCCCAAAGAUUGGAGCUUUGGACAAUCUUUUGAAGGCAAGCAAUUUGAGUCUUGACAAAUAUAAUUACUUACUAGCUUGGAUGGACCAUUCUCCUUCCUUUCUCCUCCCAUAAAAGUUUUGUGAUGAUAAUUUGGAUUGUCAAGCACAUGGUUUAUUUUUGGAGCAUCUAACAGGUCUUGGGUGGGUCAUGGAAUCAAAGAAGUUAUAACUUAUAAGCAAUCAUGCAAGUUAUUCUUUCUAGAUGCUAAAAUCUUUUGGAAUGUUUUCCUACCUUUGAUCAAUUUUAUGAAAAUGUGGGUUCUAUCACCACCUCAUCAUACUUAUGUAAUCGCAUAGCUAC